UACGGAGGGUGCGAGCGUUGUCCGGAAUCACUGGGCGUAAAGGGCGCGUAGGCGGCGCGGCAAGUCGGUUGUGAAAGCUCGUGGCUCAACUACGAGUCGGCCAUGGAUACUGCUGCGCUCGAGCACUGUAGAGGCAGGUGGAAUUCCGGGUGUAGCGGUGGAAUGCGUAGAGAUCCGGAAGAACACCGGUGGCGAAGGCGGCCUGCUGGGCAGUAGCUGACGCUGAGGCGCGACAGCGUGGGAAGCAAACAGG
rnacentral:rRNA from 1 species